UCUCUCUCUCUCUCUCUCACACACACACACACACACACAGACGGCGGCGUGGGUCUCUCUCUCUCUCACUCUCACUCUCUCUCUUCGGCCGCAGCUCCAAGAUCAGCUUCGGCGUGGGUCUCGACUCUCCAAGACGGAGAAUUUGAUCCCCAAUCAAGCUUUAUUUAUGUUGAUGAUGAGUGACUUAAGGCUUAUGGUCUACACAUUCUAUAUUGUUUAUUGUUUAUGUUAUGGAUGGCCUAUGGGAUGUAAUGUAGUGGAUAGAUGAAUGGAUUUGUGAGAAAGGCUGGAUGUUAUAUUCAUGUUUAUUUUUAGUUCAUGAAUUUGUUUAAAAGGACUGUAUUAUUUUCUAUGGAUCAUAAUAUAUAUAGUCAUUAUAUUCAUGUUUA